GACGAACGCUGGCGGCGUGCUUAACACAUGCAAGUCGAACGGAAAGGCCCCCAUCUUGGUGGGGGUGCUCGAGUGGCGAACGGGUGAGUAACACGUGGGUGAUCUGCCCUGUACUUCGGGAUAAGCUUGGGAAACUGGGUCUAAUACCGGAUAGGACCACGGUUUAGUGUCUCAUGGUGGAAAGAUUAUUGUUUUGGUGCAGGAUGAGCUCGCGGCCUAUCAGCUUGUUGGUGGGGUAAUGGCCUACCAAGGCGUCGACGGGUAGCCGGCCUGAGAGGGUGGACGGCCGCAUUGGGACUGAGAUACGGCCCAGACUCCUACGGGAGGCAGCAGUGGGGAAUAUUGCGCAAUGGGCGCAAGCCUGAUGCAGCGGCGCCGCGUGGGGGAUGACGGCCGUCGGGUGGUAAACUCCUUUCGUUGGGGACGAAGCCGCACUUUUUUGGGGUGUGGUGACGGGAACUUUGUUAAGAAGCACCGGCUAACUACGUG
rnacentral:rRNA from 1 species